GAUUCCCAAGAGGUUCAAUUACCACAUAAUGAUGCAAUGAUUUUAACUUUAAAUAUUACAAAUUAUGAUCUACAUGGCAUCCUAAUUGAUAAUGGAAGCUCGAUCGAUAUUUUAUUUUACGAUACUUUCUCUCAAAUGGGUAUACUUCAAGAGCGAAUGGGGUGAUUAGACAUUCCUCUUGUGAGAUUUACUAGAGAUGUUAUACUAGUAGUGUUGGAUUUCUAGGUGAUUAAGCAUGCAGAAUUUUUCAUCUCAUGAAAGUAUA
rnacentral:lncRNA from 1 species